rnacentral:rRNA from 1 species
AAUGAACGUUGGCGGCGUGGAUUAGGCAUGCAAGUCGUACGCACAGCUUCGGCUGUGAGUGGCGCAAGGGUGAGUAAUGCGAAGGUAACCAACCCUGGAGUUGGGCAUAACCGCGGGAAACUGCGGGUAAUUCCCAGCGAUGUCUCGAGAUGGCAUCAUCUUGCGACCAAAGGUGUGAUUCCGCUCUAGGACGGGCCUUCGUGGUAUUAGGUAGUUGGUGAGGUAACGGCUCACCAAGCCGACGAUGCCUACCGGGUGUGAGAGCAUGACCCGGCACACUGGAACUGAGACACUGUCCAGACACCUACGGGUGGCUGCAGUCGAGAAUCUUCGGCAAUGGGCGAAAGCCUGACCGAGCGACGCCGCGUGAGGGAAGAAGGCCUCGGUUGUAAACCGUACUUUCGUAGAGGAGGAAGGGGACCGGUGC